rnacentral:rRNA from 1 species
AUUGAACGCUGGCGGCAUGCCUUACACAUGCAAGUCGAACGGCAGCACGGGAGCAAUCCUGGUGGCGAGUGGCGAACGGGUGAGUAAUAUAUCGGAACGUGCCCAGUAGUGGGGAUAACUGCUCGAAAGAGCAGCUAAUACCGCAUACGACCUGAGGGUGAAAGGGGGGGAUCGCAAGACCUCUCGCUAUUGGAGCGGCCGAUAUCAGAUUAGCUAGUUGGUGGGGAAAAGGCCUACCAAGGCAACGAUCUGUAGUUGGUCUGAGAGGACGACCAGCCACACUGGGACUGAGACACGGCCCAGACUCCUACGGGAGGCAGCAGUGGGGAAUUUUGGACAAUGGGCGCAAGCCUGAUCCAGCAAUGCCGCGUGCAGGAAGAAGGCCUUCGGGUUGUAAACUGCUUUUGUCAGGGAAGAAAUCCUCUAGGUUAAUACCCUUGGGGGGAUGACGGUACCUGAAGAAUAAGCACCGGCUAACUACGUGCCAGCAGCCGCGGUAAAAC